rnacentral:lncRNA from 1 species
GUCACUAGGCAACCGCGUCGGCGUCUGCUUUUAACCUGUGGGAGAACCCGGCGAGCUAAGCCAAACGGAGGGCGGGAGAGAGGAAGCGGCAGCUGGCGCCUCUCGGCAACUCUAACCCUCUGAUAGAGAUCGCCAAGAUUGGUAUCCAUAGAGCUUGCUGUGGUUUGAAUGUAUCCCCCAAAGUUCAUGUGUUGGAAACUAUUCUUAAUGCAAAAGUGUUAAGAGGAAACAUUUGGAAACCCCUUGGAGGAGAUCUGCCACAUGGCCUCCAGUGAACUGUAGACUCCUGCAUAGCCUUCCAAAGUUCUUCAUUUGGUGAAUAUUAUGAGAAAUGACACGUAUGACUUUCUCCCAAAUACGUGGCUUAAACCCAAAGUACAGUGAAAUCAGAACUGACCACACAGAGUAAUUGGGGCAAGGGAGUUAUUUGUGACACAAAGCCCUCAUCACUUUAUAAAAGUACUUGCUACUGAUUACAUUGAAAACCAGUCUUCCUGAGUAAAACAUGUUUUUUGUUUUGUAUCGUUUUUGUUUUUGUUUUUUUGAGACAGAGUCUCACUCUUUGACCCAGGCUGGAGUGCAGUGGUGCGAACUUGGCUCUCCGCAACCUCUGCCUUCUGGGUUCAAGCGAUUCUCUUGCCUCAGCCUCCUGAGUAGCUGGGAUUACAGGUGCCCGUCACCACGCCAGGCUAAUUUUUUUGUAUUUUUAGUAGAGGCGAGGUUUUGCCAUGUUGGCCAGGUUGAUCUUGAACUCCUGACCUCAGAUGAUCCACAUGCCUGGGCCUCCCAAAGUGCUGGGGUUAGAGGCAUUAAGGGAGGAGACCACCCCUCAUAUUGUCUUAUGCCCAAUUUCUGCCUCCAAAGAAAGAAAAAGUAAAAACUGAAAGGCAGAAAUGAAAUCCACAAGCAGACAGCCCGGUGCCACACCCUGGGCAGAUCGACCCCUGACCUAAUCGGUUAUGUUAUCGAUUACAGACAUUGGAUAGAAAAGCACUGUGAAAAUCCCUAUCCUGUUUUGUUCAGAUCGAAUUACCGGUGCAUGCAGCCCCCAGACACGUACCCUCUGCUUGCUCAAUCGAUCACGACCCUCUCACACGCACCCCCUUAGAGUUGUGAGCCCUUAAAAGGGACAGGAAUUGCUCACUCGGGGAGCUUGGCUCUUGAGACAGGAGUCUUGCCAAUGCCCCCAGCCGAAUAAACCCCUUCCUUCUUUAACUCGGAGUCUGAGGAGUUUUGUCUGCAGCUCAUCCUGCUACAUUUCUUGGUUCCCUGACCAGGAAGCGAGGUGACUGGCACAUGGUCGAGGCAGCUGCUUAGGCAGCUUAAGCAUGCCCUGUGAAACAUCCCUGUGGGGGACUCCGACCAGCCCAGGCAACGCGGAUCCUGAGAACGCUCCCGGGUAGGCAUCUGCCCCUGUGGGAUGCCUCACCAGAGCAGUGUGUGGCAGGCCCCCGUGGAGGACCAACACAGUGGCUGAACACCGGGAAGGAACAGGAUCUUGGAGUCUGGACAUCUAAAACUUGGUAAGACUAGUCUCGAGAACUUGCCCACUCCAUUUGAGUGGAAGCGUGGCCUGAUCACCCAUGACAUGCAUUUAUCAGCACUUUGGUUUUGGUUUUGGUUUUGGUUUUGACUUGGUUUGAAUUGCUUGACAGGACAGGUAUUGGAAACUUGCCCACUCCAUUUGAGUGGACGCGUGGCCUGAUCACCCAUGGUGUGCCUGUACCGGCACUUCGGUUUUUGUUUUUGACUUGACUUGGAUUCCUUGAUACUUUGGUUUUGGUUUUGACCUGUCUUGGAUUUCUGGACACUCUGAUUUUGGUUUUGAUUUUGGUUUGAUGCAAACUGCAAAAGUGUGUGUGUGCCCUUUUUACCUGUUCUUUGUUUUGUGGUGUGCUUGUGGUGUGAGCAUGGUGUUUUGUCUCAAGGAAGCAUAGGUCAGGCACAAAUAAGCCCACCCUACUAGGAACUACGGUGAAAAAUUUCAAAAAAGAGUUUAAGGGAGACUAUGGAGUACGGUGACACCAGGAAAACUUAAAACUUUCUGUAAGACAGACUGGCCAGCAUUAGAGGUAGGUUGGCCAUUAGAAGGGAGCCCGGACAGGUCCCUUGUUUCAAAGCUAUGGCACAAGGUAACCUGUAAGCCAGGGAACCCAGACCAGUUCCCGUACAUAGACACUUGGUUACAGCUGGUUUUAGACCCCCCGCCCCUAACACAGAGUGGUGGAGAGAACAGCAGAAUAAGCGCCUGGCAGAGGCAAGGAAAGACCAACAGAGAGAGAGAAAGGAAAGAGACAGACAGGAAAAGAGGCAAAGAGAGAGAGGAAGAGACAGAGAGGAAGAGAAAAAAAAAGAGAGAGUCAAGGAGAGAGAGAGAGAGAAAGAGAGAGGCAGAGAGAGAGGAAGAGACAGGCAAAAGGAAAGUCAGAGAGAGACAAAGUCAAAGAGAGAAAGAAAGAAAGAGAUAUACAAGUAGUUAAGAAAAAAAAAGUGUACCCUAUUCCUUUAAAAGCCAAUGCAAAUUUAAAACCUAUAAUUGAUAAUUGAAGAUAUUCUCCAUAACCCUAUAACACUCCAAUACCACUUUGUUGUCAGUGUAAACAAGGGCAUAUCCCGAAAGCACUGAGGGCUUCCUAUCAAAAAUCCUUAACCCGGUAACCCGCAGAUGGACCAAAUGCAUUCAAUCUGUAGCAGCAACUGCUUUGCUAACAAAAAAAAAAAAGUAAAAAAAAUAACUUUUAGAGGAAACCUCAUUGUGAGCACACCUCACCAGUUCAGAAGUAUCCUAAGGAAAAAAAAAGGGAAAAAAAGGGGGGGCAGAAUUUAUAUAAAAAGAGUAUUAUAUGGUAAAUUCUUGUCCUGAAAUAAAUUAACUGGUUGUUUAAAGAAAGAAAUAUUUGUAAUAAGUCAGAAAGUUGAGGCAUGUCGAAGAAUUGUCUGCAAAAGUCAUGAAAGAGAAAAAUGUUAUAAAAAAGAAUUUAUGCAAAUAAUGUUGUAUAAUUUAAAAGUAACUAGGCCUCCUGAAUGUAAAACUAUUUUAAAAAAACAGUUUAUGUGCAAGGUGUAUCAGAAAAGUAAAAUAUACCUUUAGUAAAAGGAUUAUAAGGAGGCAUAAGAAUGCACAUUUUUACCUACAUUAAAAAGUUUUUAAAAAAUUAUUGUUUUGAAGAUUUAAGCAAGUUUUAAAACGUUAAUUGUAAAGAAAAUUCUGUGUGUAAACAUAUUAGCUAAAGUUAAAGAAGUAUCAUCCAGUUUUUCUGUGAACUGGACAUUAAAGUAAAAGCAUAACAGGUUUUUCUUAAAGCACCAACCUGCUCUUUCACAAAAAUUAUAAAAGGUUAAAAAGAGUCUAUAAAAUCUUACCUUAUGGUCAAACAUUAAAAAUUAGAUAAAUAUGUCUACAAGGUUUUAUUAAAAUUAGGUUUAACAUUACUAACACACUAAUAUAAAGAUAAAAUUUAGCUUAUCUGGUAUAAAAAUCAUAUGAGAAGCAUUGUUAAAUGUAAAAUGGUAUUUGGCUUUCUUUGUUUUAAAAACUAAUAAAAAUAGAUGCUAAAGGAAAUUUCUCAGUUAAAAGGCACUAAGGACUAUAAAGUCCACUGCCAAGGUCCCCACAUAUAAAACAAAAGGUCAGUUUCUUAAAAAUUAUAUACUUGGUUUAUCUUCCACUUUCCUUUCUCUCAAAAACUAAAAGUCUUUUAGCACAUGUACCACCCCUAGAAUUUCUGGUAAACCAGCACCAGCCUGAAGAUCACGUUCUCAUCAAACGGUGGAAAGAAGAAAAACUCGAGCCAACCUAGGAAGGACCCCACCUUGUGCUGCUAACCACCAAGACUGCUGUUUGUACAGAAAAAAAAAAAAAAAAAAAAAAAAAGGAUGGACUCAUCACACCCGAGUCAAGAAAGUGCCACCUCCUCCAGAGUCAUGGGCCAUAGUCCCAGGGGAAAACCCUACCAAACAAAAGCUAAGAAAAAUUUAACUCUUUUCCUCUAUUCUAUUACUCUUUCUUCUUUCCUCGUUCUAUUGCUGACCAUCUAGUUAUUAACAUAACCAAGUCAAUUUCGCCUCAAACUAUUGCAUUUAAUGCUUGCCUUGUUAUACCCUGUGGGGACUUGCCAAGUCAAAGACAGCUUUCUUCUUCAGAAAAGUACUUCUGUCCCUCCUGACUCUCCUCAGACUGGGAAUUAGUAAACUGAACCAUUUAAUCCCGGGAGAUUUCGAUAAAGACCCCAGUGCCAACCAGGAGUCUUGCCCCCUGAUGUGCAGCUUGCAUGUCAUAGUUGGACCAACGUUCUGUGGACCACUACAGAACAAGGAUGGACUGCCCCAACCGGUUUUUGUAAUUUCCUAAAACCAUACAUUCAUUUUACUAGAGGAUCAUAGCAGUUAAAGACUUAAAACAAACUUUAGCAAUUAAGACGGGAUACCAAGAUGCAACUGCCUGGUUAAAAUGGAUCAAAUAUUCCAUCUGCAUGUUAAACAAAAGCAAUUGUUAUGCUUGCGCACAUGGCAGGCCAGAGACCCAGACUGUCCCCUUUCCACUAAGGUGGUCCUCCGUCGACCAGGUGUGGGCUGCAUGGUAGCUCUUUUCCAGGAUUCUACAGCAUGGAAUAAUAAGUCAUGCCAAGCUCUCUCUGCUAUAUCCCAAAGUCAGGCACCCUGCAGGUCAGCCCCCAAGGGCCAUCCAGCUUCCGUCCCCCAACACUAAGUUCACUUCGUGUUUCUCACGACAGGGAGGAAACAGCAUUCCUUGGAGACCUAAAGGGAUGCAGUGAGCUUAAGAAUUUUCAAGAGCUUAUCAAUCAGUCAGCCCUUGUUCAUCCCCGAGUGGAUGUGUGGUGGUAUUGUGGUGGACCUUUACUGGGCACUCUGCCGAAUAACUGGAGGGGCACUUGUACUUUAGUCCAGUUGACUAUCCCUUUCACCCUGGCAUUUCAUCAACCAGAAGGAAAAAAAAUAAGACAUCAUAAAGUGAGAGAAGCCUCCUAUGGGUCUUUCGACUCUCAUAUCUAUUUAGACACAAUUGGAGUCUCACGAGGAACAGCAGAUCAAUUUAAAGCUUGAAAUCAAAUAGCUGCAGGAUUUGAGUCAAUAUUUUAGUAGGUGACAGUUAAUAAAAAUGUAGAUUAUAUAAACUACAUCUAUUACAACCAACAGCAAUGAGCUUUUCAUGAGUUAAAAAAAACUCAUGUCAGCCCCAGCCCUGGGGCUACCUGACCUGACAAAACUCUUUGAACUCUAUGUGUCAGAGAAAAAAUGGCAGUUGGAGUUUUAACCCAGACUAUGGGGCCCUGGCCAAGGCCAGUGGCCUAUCUCUCAAAACAACUAGACAGGGUUUCCAGAGUCCAGCCCCCAGAUCUAAGGGCCUUAGCAGCAACAGCCCUGUUAGCACAAGAAGCAGAUAAACUAACCCUUAGGCAAAACCUGAAUAUAAAGGCCCCCUUGCUGUGGUAACUUUAAUGACUACCAAAGGACAUCAUUGGUUAACAAAUACUAGAUUAACCAAGUAUCAAAGCUUAAAAUCCCCACAUAACCAUUGAAGUUUGCAACACCCUAAAUCCCACCACCUUGCUCCCGGUAUCAGAGAGCCCAGUUGAACAUAACUGUGUAGAAGCGUUAGACUCAGUUAGACUCUAGCAGGACCAACCUCUGAGACCAUCCUUAAACAUCAGUAGACUGUGAGCGGUACGUGGACGGGAGCAGCUUCGCCAACCCCUGCAAAGUGACUCUGAAGAAGAUGACAAGCCCUGCUCCAGUCACACCCGGAAGCUGACUGGUCCACGCACGGCCGAAGCAUGAGAAAACUCAUCACGGGACUCAUUUUCCUUAAAAUUUGGACUUUUACAGUAAGGACUUCAACUGACCUUCCUCAGGCUGAGGGCUGUUCCCAGUGUAUGCAUCAAGUCACUGAGGUAGGACAAAAGGUUGCUACGGUCCUAUUAUUUUAUGGUUAUUAUAAGUGUACUGGAACUCUAAAAAGAACUUGUUGGUAUAAUGUUAUUCUAUACAAGGUAUGUAGCCCAGGAAAUGACAAACCUGAUGUGUGUUAUGACCCAUCUGAGUCUCCCAUGACCACAGUUUUUAAAAUAAGAUUAAAGACUGAGGACUGGUGGGGGCUUAUAAACAAUACGAGCAACGUGUUAGCCAAAACAGAAGAAAAAGGGGUGCCCAAAGAAGUCACCUUAAAAUUUGAUGCCUGUGCUGUCUUUAAUAGUAAUGUUAGAAAUAAGGUGUGGUUCUCUUAAUUAGAAAAGAGGCUAUAUGGCAGAAAAUAAGUACAUCUGUCAUAAAUUAGGACUGUGUAGAAAUAAAUGUAAAUACUGGUCUUGUGUCAUUUAGGCCACUUGGAUUUAAAAAAAAUGAAAAGGAUCCAGUCCACCUUCAGAAAGGAAAAAAUGGCCCUUCCUGUACUAAAGGGCAAUGUAACCCCUUAGAGCUAGUAAUAACCAAUCCCCUUGAUACUCGCUGGAAAAAAGACGAGCAUGUGACCUUAGGAAUCGACGGGGCCGGACUGCAUCCUUGAGUAAAUAUCUUGGUUCGAGGAGAAGUUUACAAACGCUCUCCUGAGCCAGUGUUUCAACCUUUCUAUGAUGAACUAAAUGUGCCAGUACCAGAAAUUCCAGGAAAAACAAGAAAUUUGUUUUUGCAAUUAGCCGAGCAUGUAGCCCAGUCUCUCAAUGUCACUUCAUGUUAUGUAUGUGGAGGAACUGUAAUAGGAGAUCAAUGGCCAUAGGAAGCCCAAGAAUUAGUACCUACAGACACAGUUCCUGAUGAAUUCCCGGCUCAAAAGAAUCACCCUGAUAAUUUCUAGGUCCUAAAAGGCUCAAUUAUUGGACAAUAUUGCAUAGCUAAAGAAGGAAAAGAAUUCACUCACCCUGUCAGAUGACUUAGUUGUCUGAGACAGAAACUGUAUAAUGGUACCACAAAAACAGUCACUUGGUGGAGUUCAAAUCACACAGAAAGAAAUCCAUUUAGUAAAUUCCCAAAGUUGCAAACCGUGUGGACCUACCCAGAGUCACACCAGGACUGGACAGCCCCCACUGGAUUAUACUGGAUAUGUGGGCAAACAGCUUAUGCCAGAUUACCUGGCCAGUAGGCAGGUAGUUGUGUUAUUAGCACUAUUAAACCAUCUUUCUUCCUACUGCCCACAAAAACAGGCGAACUCCUGGGCUUCCCUGUCUAUGCUUCCCGCGAAAAGAGAAGCAUAGCUAUAGGAAAUUGAAAAAAUGAUAAAUGGCCCCCUGAGAGAAUCAUACAAUAUUAUAGGCCUGCUACUUAGGCACAAGACAGCUCGUGAGGAUACCGGACCCCCAUUUACAUGAUCAACCGAAUCAUACGGUUACAAGCUGUCUUAAAAAUAAUCACUAGUAAAACCAGCAGAGCCUUGACUAUUCUGGCCUGGCAAGAAACUCAGAUGAGAAAUGCUAUCUAUCAAAAUAGAUCAGCUCUCGACUACAGCUGAAGGAGAGGUCUGCAGGAAAUUUAACCUUACUAAUUGCUGCCUACACAUAGAUAAUCAAGGGUAAGUAGUUGAAGACAUAGUUAGAGAUAUGACAAAACUGGCACAUGUGCCCGUACAAGUGUGGCAUAGAUUUGAUCCUGGGGCCAUGUUUGGAAAAUGGUUCCCAGCACUAAGAGGAUUUAAAACUCUUAUAAUAAGAGUUAUAAUAGUAAUAGGAACCUGCUUACUGCUCCCUUGUUUGCUACCUGUACUUCUUCAAAUGAUAAAAAGCUUCAUCACUACCUUAGUUCACCAAAAUGCUUCAGCACAAUGUACUAUGUGAAUCACUAUCGAUCUGUCUUGCAAGAAGACAUGGGAAGUAAAAAUGAAAGUGAGAACUCCCACUAUUGAGUGAGAUUCUCAAAGGGGGGGAAUAAGGGAGGAGACCACCGCUCAUAUUGUCUUAUGCCCAAUUUCUGCCUCCAAAGAAAGAAAAAGUAAAAACUAAAAGACAGAAAUGAAAUCCACAAGCAGGCAGCCCGGCGCCACACCCUGGGCCUGGUAGUUAAAAAUCGACCCCUGACCUAAUUGGUUAUGUUAUCUAUAGAUUACAGACAUUGGAUAGAAAAGCACUGUGAAAAUCCCUAUCCUGUUUUGUUCCGAUGUAAUUACCGGUGCAUGCAGCCCCCAGACACGUACCCCCCACUUGCUCAAUCAAUCAUGCCCCUCUCAUGUGCACCCCCUUAGAGUUGUGAGCCCUUAAAAGGGACAGAAAUUGCUCACUCGGGGAGCUCGGCUCUUGAGACAGGAGUCUUGCCAAUGCCCCCGGCCGAAUAAACCCCUUCCUUCUUUAAUUCAGAGUUUGAGGACUUUUGUCUGCGGCUCAUCCUGCUACAGCAUAAGCCGCCAAGCCCGACCAUAAAACAUGUUUUAAAUUAGAAGAUGUUCUUUGCACUUUUGUUUUUCUGGAGGAAUGUCAUGGUACACAGAGUGAAGACCUAACUUAAGGAGGCCUUGGAGCCUGUCAAGCAUACAAUGAUUCAGGUCUGUACCGGGCUGUGGCACUGCCUUCACUCCCCUCCACCCUGGGCAGAGGCAGAGGGCAGGAGAAUCUGGUGAGCUGAGGCCACAUGUCCACCUGGUGUGGCUGGUGUGGUCCACACAGCUGGAAUGAUAAAAGCACCGCACUCAUCCGUGCCAGGCCCGGUGCUACUCAUGCUUCUCCUUCACUCUUCACCACAUUCCCAGGACUGAAGCAUUGGUUUAUUCCCAUUUUCCAAAAAAGGAAACUGAGGCUCAUAGUGUUUAAGCCUCAAGCCUCAGGCCACCAUGAAUACUUCUCAUCUGCAAAAGAGAACACCCAAAUGUGCCCACCCACCCUACAGAUUCUUGGAGGUCUGGCUCACUUAUCUCCAAGAAAGCCCCCUCUGGACCAUCCAGAAGCCACGAGAUGGUAACAGUGCUUCCUCUGCAGGGGCUCUGAUCGACCUUGGGUCUGCAAGGGGUAGCAGUCAGGGGUCACCUGAGCCUAGCUCAGUGGGUGUGCUCCUCACACUGCAUGACCGCAUGCUGUGGGUGGGCCUGUGCACAUGUGUGUUUGUGCACACAGAGGAAACGAGUGUAGGCGGGGAUCAAGGUCAUUUUUACAAACAGAAAAGCUGCAGCAUCUCCAUAACUCAGCUUGUGGGCUAGACAGUCACCACAGAAAAAAGGAAGCCAGACCAAAAC